AACGAACGCUGGCGGCAGGCUUAACACAUGCAAGUCGAGCGAAGACUUCGGUCUUAGCGGCGGAUGGGUGAGUAACACGUGGGAACCUACCCUUAAGACUGGGAUACCACUUGGAAACAGGUGCUAAUACCGGAUAGGAGUAUGAGCUGCAUGGCUUAUACUUUAAAGGCGGCGAAAGCUGUCACUAAAGGAUGGACCCGCGGUGCAUUAGCUAGUUGGUAAGGUAACGGCUUACCAAGGCGACGAUGCAUAGCCGAGUUGAGAGACUGAUCGGCCACAUUGGGACUGAGACACGGCCCAAACUCCUACGGGAGGCAGCAGUAGGGAAUCUUCCACAAUGGACGCAAGUCUGAUGGAGCAACGCCGCGUGAGUGAAGAAGGUUUUCGGAUCGUAAAGCUCUGUUGUUGGUGAAGAAGGAUAUAGGUAGUAACUGGCCUAUAUUUGACGGUAAUCAACCAGAAAGUCACGGCUAACUACGUGCCAGCAGCCGCCGUAAGAC
rnacentral:rRNA from 1 species